UGCAUGCAUGAGCCGCGUUCUGCAGCGGGA
rnacentral:sRNA from 1 species